rnacentral:lncRNA from 1 species
UGAAAGAAACUACUGGUAUACUUUAUUGAAAUUUUUGUAUGAUCCACAUAAAUUGGUAUUAAGUCUAGCAAUUACAUGGAACGGUUUUCUAACAUGAUGGUAUAACAUGACUUUCACUUUAGGAAGGGAGGAACACAGCAGCACACUCCUCUAUUUUCCUUAGCACAGUAGCCUUUGUGCCCCUCAUAGCCAAGUAUUCUGCACUAUUCUUUGCAGUAAUCUAAUGCAUCCUCAUAUGAACUUGCACACACUGAGAAAUGAAAACAUAGUUUUCCAAGUGGAGUGUUGGUACCUAAACACAAUGUAGUAACACCAGAACAUAUAAAAUAGUACAUAUGAAAUACAUGACCCAUAUUCAUUGUGGCAUGUUUAUUAUCGAGAAACUCAUCAAAGAAAUUUAUAUAGAAAUUACCUAUAUCCCUCCCCGCUAUAGCAGGGCGACACAAAAGAGUGGUACACGUCAACAGAAGAGAAACAAAACAGAGAAUAUGUGUGUUGUUCUUCAUAGAUGCCAUGAUCAACACUGGCUUGAUCUUACUUAUUUUCUCUUGAUGUUUUCCUUCUCUAAAUGUAUGUUUCCUACACAGGUGUUUAUACAGAGGAGCAAAUGCACAAUGAUUCUCGUCCCUUUAUCCUUUUCUACAUUAAUCAUUUCUCCUAGUUUUGGUAUACUUUAAUUUCCAUAUUAACUUGUAUCCUUACAUAACAAAAUUAAUAUGGGCCAAAAUUACAUUUUAGAGGACAUUUCAAUUGACAAAAACAUGCAAAUGUUAAUUUCCAUAAAAUAAUAUUACCAUUUUAAUGAUGCAUGGUAUCGGUGUAAUCACUUUCUAAAAUAUAGAGAAUAAAAAAAUUUGUUUCUAGCUUUGUGGAUAAAUCAUAAAAAUCAGGCGCAUGCACGUAUGUUGUGUUGAAACAUACCAUUGUAGAAUUUUUUCAUAUGGGCAUAUUAGUUUAUGGAAAUUUGCAUGCUCAUUUUUUUGUUUAAAAGAACUAUAUACUUAAAGGGAUUUCUAUUUCGGUGUCCCUCGUUGCUUAUUUGUGCUCAGUUUUCCCAUGGCAUCUAAGUUUCCUCACUUUUCCGACCACCACUUGCCCCAUUCUCAAAAAAGCCCAAAUGCAGCCUUGCCAUCGGGUCAAAGUAGUUGAUCGUCAUACUUAGUUACUGAUGCAUGGGGUUGUAGUUCUAUACAUAUGUGGGCUACGCGUGGGGCCGUAGUUCUUUAGACAUGUGGAUUUUAUUUAUUUUUCUUCGGUUUUCAAUUUUAUUUUUCUGUAUUGCUUUUAUUCAUUGAUUGUUAUUUUCAGUGCUAGAAUGCUUGUGAGAAUGAUUGCUUAUAUGAAUGCAAUGUUUUAUUAAAGUAGAUUUCAUCAAGAGUGACGAGUAGUACUAUUAAGUUAUUUUUGAGAGCAAUAUAAUCUUCAUCAACUAUACCAGGCAAGUUCACUUUGACCAUAUUUUCAUACCUAUGUUUUAUUGCAUUUAGUGUCACCCUUUCAACAUUCCUCCAGUUGUAUAUUGAACUUGAAACUUCAGGUAGUAUCAUGAGGUAGGAGAAACCCAACACCCUGUUACCAUUGCCCGGGAAGGGACGUUACUUUACAUUACGGCUACGCUCAAGUAGACGGGGGUUAUGUGCGAUACAAGAGUGUUGUGAGGAUAAGUAAAUCAAAACAUGCAUGAUGUUCAAGACUUCAAGGACUUAAUAUACCUCUGGGAGGAUUGGUAUUUUAUCUGGCAACCUGAUAUCUAUCAUGGUUAUGCCCGAGAGUCAUGGUACCUACCUAGACAAUGAGCUCGCUAGUCCGAGUACCACUCUUGCCUAUGACCGCCGAAUCUAGAGCUGAAAGGACCGGUGAAUUUACGUAUUAUUGAGUUGUUGGCUCAGUUUGAGGAGAAUGCUCAACCGUCCAACUGCCGCCUGGCUCGCCAUCUUAAGCGUCUCCAACCUCCUCUGGCUAGUGAUGAGAAUCCAACAUUUGGAUGCAAAUUUUUAACUGAAAACAGUAUGGUUUUGUCAUACUAAGAUUUGAUUAGCUCAAUCAUGCCCUUAAAUUUUGUUCGAAUGUUCUUACUAAGUUGGUGUAUGUUACAUUUAGGACAUCCUACGUCGAGUGGCAUUUGCAUGUUCCAAAACGGUGCAACAUGCAAAACUACCUAAAAAUAGCAACAUGCAAAACUUACUUAAAAAGGUGUGACAUGCCAAAAUAACCAAAAAUAGGUCAACAUAGAAUGAGGGUAUCAUGCACUUAAAGAGUUUACCAAAAAUUGCUACAUGUACGUAAGGAGUCCAAAAAAGUGCAACGUGGAUAGCGGGAGGGAAAGGAUGACAUAGGUAAGGGUAAUCGCACUACUGAAUAACUAUCUAGCAAUGGUAGGUGCAAAAGUCCCAUUAGUGACAAGCUUGGUUGUCAGGGGUGGCCACCACUGGCCUCCCACCGCUGCUAUGAAUCCAUCAGUAGCGGGCACCCUGCCCGCCAAUGCUAAAGGCCAAUCACGGACGGGCUUUAAAUAACCAAUGGCGUACAUCAAUAUUCAACUGCAACAAGCUCGCAAACAUACCUGUGGCGGUCCAUUUUUCCGCCCACCACUAGUAUGAUUUUAGAAAUAAAAAAUGAUGCACCUCCUAGCAGCGCAUAGUUUAGGUACGCCGCAAGUAUUACGUAACCAACUGUGUUUGGGAAUUUCGUGGAAGCUACAAGUAUCUAGGCAAACUACUUUCGGCGUUGUUCCGGGGCCAAAAGCUGCUAGUAGUAAAAUCCUAUAGUGUGUCUCCCUACUAGUGGAAGUCCAUAUUUCACUAUGAACUGUCAUAAAUAUCUAAGAAUCAACCGUAAACAUUGAAAUCAUCCAAGUUACAAUGUUUAAAUUCAAAACUAGCAAGUUUCAAUCUUGCGCUCUCUGUGAAAUGGUUUUUUAUGAGUCAAAGUCGUUUUGACCAGUUCAUCUAUCAAUCAGUAGCCUAGUUAGCUGUCAAAUCAAAAUAAUGAAACAUGAAAAUUUUCAUAAAAGUCAACACUACUAUAAUUAUCAUUAUGGGUAAGUUUCGAACUUUUUUAAAAUGGAAUAAGGAAUACAAACAAAAUAUAUAUUCAUAUCUUUUUUGGUCAAAACUUUAACCAAAACAGCCAUGGUGAUUAAUCUAGGGAACUUUCAUAACCUGUUCGACAAAUAGAUCAAAAAGUCCAAGAUAAAUACAUAUUCAUCCAUGUUUUUGGUUAAAAUUUGAUAAAAAGAUAGUUCUAGAAUAAUUGGAUACAAUUUUUGUACACUAAACACUACCAUAUUGACUAGUGUGUGAAAGUUUCAAUAUUUUUGCCAAACUUAUUAAAAAAAUACAAGAAAAAAACAUGUUCAGACCCUUAUUUGACAAAAAAGAAUGAAAGUGUCCUGAAAAUGUAAUAUCAACACUAGCAAGGUGAUCAAUCUGGUAAAGUUUCAAAAUUUACUUCCAAAAAUAUUACAAAAUGCAAGAAAACACAUAUUUAGAAAAAUAUUGUGUGACAUGAGCAGACUAGGUGGCUAACUGGGUAGCCAUUUGUUCAAACCCACUUACACUAACCAAAAACUGAUGUGAGGGGAAGACAGGUUGAAACUUUAUUGCUUUUGAAAAUUAAGGUUUGUAACUUCAAUUGUUUCAAAUUUUGGUCUUGAUUCUUAGACUUUGUGAUAGUCCAGAAUAUGUACUUGUUUGAGUUGUGCAUCCAUUAGUUGGUUUUAACUAGCAUCCUUUAAUGACAAACUUCCAUCUCCUGAUGUGUAGUUGAUAUAGUUCUAUUUGUUUGCUCCUAAGAUUUAAUUUUUUGUUUAUUAGUACUUCCAAUUUUUAGCUUCCUCGUUGUUAGCUCUUAUGGCUUGAAAAAUAGAGUGUCCAGCCAAGUUCUCUUUGAAAGCAACUAUUGGUAUACUUUAUUGAAAUUCUUGUAUGAUCCACAUAAAUUGGUAUUAAGUCUAGCAAUUAAAUGGAACAGUUUUCUAACAUGAAGGUAUAUCAUGAGUUUCACUUUAGGAAGGGAGGAACACAGCAGCACACUCCUCCAUUCUCCUUUUCGCAGUAGCCUUUGUGCCCCUCAUAGCCAUGUAUUCUGCACUCUUCGUUGCAUUAAUCUACUGCAUCCUCAUAUGAAGUUGCGCAUAGUGAUAAAUGAAAACAUAGUUUUCCAAGUGGAGUGUUGGUACCUAAACACAAUGUAGUAAGAACCAGAACAUAUAAAUUAGAACAUAUGAAAUACAUGACCCAUAUUCAUUUUUGCAUGUUGAUUAUUGAGAAACUCAUCCAAGAAAUGUAUUCAGAAAUUAUCUAUAUCCAUCCCUGCUGUAGCCGGGCGACACAAAAAAGUGGUACAUGUCAACAGAAGAGCAACAAAACCGAGAAUAUGUAUGUUGUUCUUCAUAGAUGCCAUGAUCAACACUGGCUUAAUCUUACUUAUUUUCUCUUUAUGUUUUCCUUCUCUAAAUGUUUGUUUCGUUCAC